rnacentral:rRNA from 1 species
CUCAGAAUUAACGCUGAUGGCAUACCUAAUACAUGCAAGUCGAGCGGACCUCUAGCAAUAGAGGUUAGCGGCGAACGGGUGAGUAAUGAAUACUUAACAUACCUCCAUGAAGGAAAUAGCUAUUCGAAAGAGUAAUUAAUGUCCUAUAGGAGCCUUCCUCACAUGAGGUUGGCUUUAAAGGCGCAAGCCACUUGGAGAUUGGAGUAUUUUCUAUUAGCUAGUUGGCGGGAUAAUAGCCCACCAAGGCAGUGAUAGAUAGCUGGUCUAAGAGGAUGAACAGCCACAAUGGGAUUGAGAUACGGCCCAUAUUCCUACGGGAAGCAGCAGUAGGGAAUCUUCCACAAUGGGCGAAAGCCUGAUGGAGUGAUGCCAUGUGAACGAUGAAGGUCUUUUUGAUUGUAAAGUUCUUUUAUUGGGGAAAAUGAUGAUGGUACCCAGUGAAUAAGUGACAGCAAACUAUGUGCCAGCAGCUGCGGUAAUACAUAGGUCGCGAGCGUUAUUCGGAUUUAUUGGGCGUAAAGCGAGCGCAGGCGGAUUGGUAAGUUCUGUGUUAAAUGCAGCCGCUCAACGGUUGUAUGCGCAGAAUACUGCCUUUCUAGAAUACGGUAGAAAGUUUUGGAAUUGAAUGUGGAGCGGUGGAAUGUGUAGAUAUAUUCAAGAACACCAGAGGCGAAGGCGAAAACUUAGGCCGAUAUUGACGCUUAGGCUCGAAAGUGUGGGGAGCAAAUGGGAUUAGAUACCCCAGUAGUCCACACCGUAAACGAUGGAUAUUAGAUGUUGGGACUUGAGUCUCAGCGUUGUAGCUUACGUGUUAAAUAUCCCGCCUGAGUAGUACAUAUGCAAAUAUGAAACUCAAAGGAAUUGACGGGGACCUGAACAAGUGGUGGAACAUGUUGCUUAAUUCGACAAUACACGAAAAACCUUACCAAGAUUUGACAUCCCCUGCGAAGCUUUAGAAAUAAAGUGGAGGUUAUCAGGGUGACAGGUGGUGCAUGGCUGUCGUCAGCUCGUGUCAUGAGAUGUCUGGUUAAGUCCUGAAACGAGCGCAACCCUACUCUUUAGUUAACUUUCUAAAGAGACUGAACAGUAAUGUAUAGGAAGGAUGGGAUCACGUCAAGUCAUCAUGCCCCUUAUAUCUUGGGCCGCAAACGUGUUACAAUGGUGGGUACAACGUGUCGCAAGCCAGCGAUGGCAAGCCAAUCACUAAAAGCCCAUCCCAGUCCGGAUAAAAGGCUGCAAUUCGCCUUUUUGAAGUUGGAAUCACUAGUAAUCCCGUGUCAGCCAUAUCGGGGUGAAUACGUUCCCAGGUCUUGUACACACCGCCCGUCAAACUAUGAGAG